AUUCUGCAUCAGCAUCAAAACAACAUAAACAUCAUGGGACGGCUUUGAAUUUCUACUGAAGCAAAUGUGGUUCGUAGCGGCUCAAGUGUAAACUACAGUACAUCGCAGGAAGGAAGAGGGGACCCGGCGGUGGGGGUUGGGAGCAGGAUCCCAGACCAUAAAACCUGACAGCCGCCCUCCUGCAUUGUUCGCCGCCACCAUUCCAGGCCAGUCUCACUGUUCUCUCCCUGAGCUCGGUGCAUCCUGUCUGUUUCAGAGGCAGUUAAUGUUGUUGUUGUUCCAUCAGACAAACACGAUUCCUGGCCAACCUUUGUCUUUGUUCUUACCAUGAAGGCCUCGCAUGGCUUUGGCCACAUCGUACCAGGCUGCAGCGAGCCUUUGACUGGAGUGGAGAACAAUAAAAGCAAUAAAGCAAGUCUUUAGGCUUCACAUUAGCAUCCAAAGCUCCUCCUAGAGCUCCACCUGGUGGCCGCACAGAGCUGUGGUUGAUGAAUCCCUGAAAACACUGGUUGCUGCAGUCUCAUACAAAAAAAAGGAAAGCAUUGUGUUUUAAAGAGCAGCCAGACUUUUUUACAUAAUAUAAAAAACAACCACAAUGAAAAAUGCAGUUACGUUGAAUAUCAUUGAAUCUACAAAUUCACAACCGCUAUGACCUUAUUCCAUGACAUCAUCACAAACUUUGUCCGUUAAAUUGUAUAUUAGCGCAACUUUCCUUUACAACUGGACGCUUCAUGCCACGAACCAUUGGGCUUGUCCACAGUGGGAGUCGCUCACUUUUGUGGAAUGCAGACGUUCCUCUCUGUGUCAUUUAUGUGAUUUAGAGCUGUCAAGAAGCCCAGAGAGCAGGCGGGUUCAUGCCUGUGACGCUGAGGUCCUGCACAAAGUGCUCCCCCUGCUGGCUGGGCACGGAUACACAACCAGAACGUUCAUGGGGGAGUGGGGAAACCACGACAAAGGAGACAGAUGCAUGGUGGGACAUGAAGCACCAUGUGUUAAACACAACCCUUUUAAUGCUUAUUUUAUGGAACAAGUCUCAGUAGUGAACGUUAUCUUUUAUUUAAUGCCACAAAUUACACCCACAUUCUCCCACAGAAUCAAUUCCUCCUCCGGUCUCUCUCAGGACCAGUCUGAAAAUACAGCAGCUGCAAAUAGAAAGCUGGAGACUUUUUUUUUUUUUUUACAAAC